GACGAACGCUGGCGGCGUGCUUAACACAUGCAAGUCGAACGGAAAGGCCCUGCUUUUGUGGGGUGCUCGAGUGGCGAACGGGUGAGUAACACGUGAGUAACCUGCCCUUGACUUUGGGAUAACUUCAGGAAACUGGGGCUAAUACCGGAUAGGAGCUCCUGCUGCAUGGUGGGGGUUGGAAAGUUUCGGCGGUUGGGGAUGGACUCGCGGCUUAUCAGCUUGUUGGUGGGGUAGUGGCUUACCAAGGCUUUGACGGGUAGCCGGCCUGAGAGGGUGACCGGCCACAUUGGGACUGAGAUACGGCCCAGACUCCUACGGGAGGCAGCAGUGGGGAAGAGUGCACAAUGGGCGGAAGCCUGAUGCAGCAACGCCGCGUGGGGGAUGACGGCCUUCGGGUUGUAUACCGCUUUCGCCUGUGACGAAGCGUGAGUGACGGUAAUGGGUAAAGAAGCACCGGCUAACUACGUG
rnacentral:rRNA from 1 species